AGCUGAAGCACAUGUUAUGGGCUCAUUAUACCAUUCUACAUCUCAAAGAGGAAGGCCAAGGUACAACAUACCAGCUACUCAGCUGACUGACAUGCGAGACUUGGGGUUUAGUUGGAUGGCCAUAUCUCAAAUGUUGUCAGUAAAUGUUCGAACACUGUACAACCACAGGAUACAACUAGGUUUAGUGGACUAUGGAACUUUUAAUAAUAUUUCAAAUGUGGAUCUUGAUCAUCUCAUUACUGAGAUUCUUACACAUACCCCUGGCUCAGGAGAAUCCUACAUUAGUGGUAGUUUGAGAGGAAGAGGAAUCAGAGUUCAGCGGUGGCGAGUGCGAGAACGUUUAAGAAUAGUUGAUCCAGUGGGAAGAGCUUUGAGAGGACGGAGAGCAAUUCAGAGGAGGGUCUACAAUGUCACUGUCCCAAAUCAAGUGUGGCAUAUUGACACAAACCACAAGUUAAAUCCUUGGGG